UUCUUUGUUCUUUUAAAUAUUAAUUUGAUAUUUGGUAUAUAGUUUGAUCAUGAAAACAUAUAGAUCAAGUUUGAAUUUUGUUCUGAUCUGAUGAUUUAGUCGUCUAGAGUUAUGGUCCAUAUCAUAUGUUAUAGUACUAUGUUAAACCCUAUUUCUGUACAAAGGGAGAUAACUCAUUUUGUAAAAAAGAUUUUUAAAAGUAGCUAUAUGACAUUUUGGAUUUUUUUGGGGAUGGGGGAAAGUAGGCGAGAUGGUGACAUCCCAUUAGUCCGACAACCAUUAUUCCGACAGCCCAUUUCUCCGACAGCCCACUAUUCUGACAGCCCAUUACUCUGACAGCCCAUUAUUCCAACAGCUCAUUAUUCCGACAGCUCAUUAUUCCGACAGCUCAAAAUUUCGUAAUGCAUCUGUCUUAUGUGUAUGGGUAAAUUUUCUCUAAAAAGAUCAACUCCACUCUCUAUACUUUUAGUGGUUGUCCAUUUUGAUAUCAAUUAUUCUUUUCAUGUGGGAUAUUUGUUUCAGUAUAUUAUAUAACUAUACAAAUCCUUGUUAU
rnacentral:lncRNA from 1 species